rnacentral:RNase_P_RNA from 1 species
UGAGUAAGCCGGGUGGUCGCGGGUUCCGGUGCAAACCGGAGCCUGAGGAAAGUCCGAGCUCCACAGGGCAGGGUGCUGGGUAAUCCCCAGUGGGGGCGACCCCAAGGAAAGUGCCACAGAAACAGACCGCCCGGUAGCGGCGUCGCCUGGACGCAGCGGUGGUCGGGGCGCCGGCGCCGGGCAAGGGUGGAAAGGUGAGGUAAGAGCUCACCAGCGGCGCGAGUGAUCCGCCGGCUCGGUAAACCCCACCUGGAGCAAGACCGAAUAGGGGAACAAGGGAGUGGCCCGCUCCGUUCCCGGGUAAGGUCGCUUGAGGCGUCAGGCAACUGUCGUCCCAGAUAGAUGACCACCCUCGACAGAACUCGGCUUACAGGCUUGCUCAACCG